rnacentral:rRNA from 1 species
AUACGUAGGUCCCGAACGUUGCGCGAAAUUACUGGGCGUAAAGGGUCCGUAGGCGGUCUGGUAAGUGGAAGGUGAAAGCCUGGGGCUCAACUCCAGAAUUGCCUUCCAAACUGCCGGACUUGAGGCAGGGAGAGGUCGGCGGAAUUCCCGGUGUAGUGGUGAAAUGCGUAGAUAUCGGGAGGAACACCAGUGGCGAAGGCGGCCGACUGGAACUGUCCUGACGCUGAGGGACGAAAGCCAGGGGAGCGAACCGGAUUAGAUACCCUUGUAGUCC